GACCUCCUCACGAUACAGAGACACCUUCCCUUCACAAUGGAGGAAAUCUGAGACCUGGAAGAGGAGGAGAAGGCUGCUGUAGCUCAUGGAGGCUAUUUUAGUCUUGUGAGAGCCCCACACUGCCCUCAACACCAGGAGAGUGGACAAUUGCAAGUAUCAGUGUGCUGCAGCAACAACCCUGUUGCAGCAUGGCAUGGACCAUGCUUCCAGGAAGGACAGUAUGAACCUGAGCAUGAACCUGAACCACUCCAGUCGUAUAAUCCAGCUACCGAUACAUCACAUGCGCAACAAGAUGUUGCUCUGGACUCUACUCCACACAACUAUACCCUAAAAACAGUCGUUACAGGCCUCACAGUGAGAGUGGACUUCAUGCACCACUGUACGCACUGAGCAAACGUUAUUUAUGUAAGCGGCUUCGUUUCCAGCACUGCAUGGUCUUCUAUUAUUCUAUUAUUCUAUAUAUAUAUCCGUUUCUUUUCUUGAGUGAUUCACUUUUUCUUGACAUGUGACUAUACCCCCUUUUGUACAGUUUGUGAAAUAUAUAAAAUAAACAUGAACUUACUUUUUC